CAGCCGCCGCGGGAAAACGAAGGGGGCAAGCGUUAUCCGGAAUUACUGGGUGUAAAGGGAGCGUAGACGGUUAAACAAGUCUGAAGUGAAAUGCCGGGGCUCAACCCCGGAGUUGCUUUGGGAACUGUAGAACUGGAGUGUCGGAGGGGUAAGCGGAAUUCCCAGUGUAGCGGUGAAAUGCGUAGAUAUUGGGAGGAACACCGGCGGCGAAGGCGGCUUACUGGACGACAACUGACGUUGAGGCUCGAAGGCGUGGGUAGCAAACAGGAUUAGAUACCCCCGUAGUCCCUGUCUCUUAUAC
rnacentral:rRNA from 1 species